GAUGAACGCUGGCGGCGUGCCUAAUACAUGCAAGUCGAGCGAACAGACGAGGAGCUUGCUCCUCUGACGUUAGCGGCGGACGGGUGAGUAACACGUGGAUAACCUACCUAUAAGACUGGGAUAACUUCGGGAAACCGGAGCUAAUACCGGAUAAUAUAUUGAACCGCAUGGUUCAAUAGUGAAAGACGGUUUUGCUGUCACUUAUGGAUGGAUCCGCGCCGCAUUAGCUAGUUGGUAAGGUAACGGCUUACCAAGGCGACGAUGCGUAGCCGACCUGAGAGGGUGAUCGGCCACACUGGAACUGAGACACGGUCCAGACUCCUACGGGAGGCAGCAGUAGGGAAUCUUCCGCAAUGGGCGAAAGCCUGACGGAGCAACGCCGCGUGAGUGAUGAAGGUCUUCGGAUCGUAAAACUCUGUUAUUAGGGAAGAACAAAUGUGUAAGUAACUAUGCACGUCUUGACGGUACCUAAUCAGAAAGCCACGGCUAACUACGCG
rnacentral:rRNA from 1 species